rnacentral:tRNA from 1 species
GCCUUCGUAGUGUAAUGGUAGUACACUCGACGCAUAUUCGAGAGGUCCAGGUUUGAGUUUCGGCGAAAGUA